UGAGGAAUAUUGGUCAAUGGACGCAAGUCUGAACCAGCCAAGUAGCGUGCAGGAUGACGGCCCUAUGGGUUGUAAACUGCUUUUAUAUGGGGAUAAAGUGGGGAACGUGUUCCCUUUUGCAGGUACCAUAUGAAUAAGGACCGGCUAAUUCCGUGCCAGCAGCCGCGGUAAUACGGAAGGUCCGGGCGUUAUCCGGAUUUAUUGGGUUUAAAGGGAGCGUAGGCUGUCUAUUAAGCGUGUUGUGAAAUUUACCGGCUCAACCGGUGGCUUGCAGCGCGAACUGGUCGACUUGAGUAUGCAGGAAGUAGGCAGAAUUCAUGGUGUAGCGAUGAAAUGCUUAGAUAUCAUGACGAACUCCGAUUGCGCAGGCAGCUUACUGUAGCAUAACUGACGCUGAUGCUCGAAAGUGCGGGUAUCAAACAGG
rnacentral:rRNA from 1 species